rnacentral:lncRNA from 1 species
CCGUGAACGACUACUUCCUUCGUACCGAACUCGAUCUGCUCCGAAAUGCACGCUUCAAAGGUAUAACCCCGAGACGACCGCCCGUGAACGAUUGCAUGUGUUGUAUGAGAUGCACCCUAUGUUUGGACCGUGCCCGUUUGUCCUUGCAAGUUCCUCCUCGUUUGCCAUGCCGUCGACCCGUGGGAACCCGGUAAUCUGGGAUCACCCCACCAUCUUGCAUGACUUGCCCACACUUGUUCCUUUGCACCGGUAUCUCACUUUCGGAUAUGUGGUCGUGGCAUCAUUUUCGGAUAUGUUGCCGUGGGACCAUUUCCGUUUCACCGCCGUGGCACCUUUUUCCUUCCGCCAUGGUGACUAAUGCCUCGUAUCAUGCUCAUGUCAACAUUUUCAUAAAAUUGCAUAAAACUUGUAUAUGUCAUCCGCAUCAUGAUAACAACAUUUAAAAUGUUUAAAAUUGUGUUUGCAUUAAAUUGCUAAAUGACAUAUGGGGAUUUUUCGGAAUUGUUAUUUGUUGUUUCCGGCCUCAUUUAAACUUGCCUAAAUAGUUAGUUCAAUUAUGCUUCACCUCUUGCCAUGCUUAACAACAUUUAAUAUUGUUUGGUAACUUAAACAAGAGAGAAGUAAAUAAUUGAUGUGGUGUUUCGUCAAUAUGCAACUCGUUGCAUAUUGAGCUCCCCUUAAAUUGUAGUGUUGUUUGCUUUACCUUGCCAUGCCAUGCCUCAUUAAAUCGGACACGCAUCAUAUUUGGUUGUGCAUCAUGCCAUGAUUAUGUUUGUGUGUUUACCAUGUUGUUUUGCUUCUUUCCGGUUUGCUUCUCUCGUUAGCUUCGGUUUCAUUCCGGAGUUGUGAGGAUUCGUUCGACUACGUCCGUUUGUCUUCUUCAUGGACUCAUUCUUCUUCCUAUCGGGAUUUCAGGCAAGAUGACUAUUAUCCUUGAUAUCACUUCUAUCUUUGCUUGCUAGUUGCUUCGUUCUAUCGCUAUGCUGUGCUACCUAUCACUUGUUUACCAUGCCUCCAACCUUUUCACCCUUCCUAGCAAACCGUUGCUUGGCUAUGUUACCGAUUUGCUCAGCCCCUCUUAUAGCAUUGUUAGUUGCAGGUGAAGUUGAAGAUUUCUCCAUGGUGGACAGGAUUAUGAUUGGGAUAUCACAAUAUCUCUUAUAUUAUUAAUGCAUCUAUAUAUUUGGUAAAGGGUGGAAGACUCAGCCUUUUGCCUGGUGUUUUGUUCCACUCUUGCCGCCCUAGUUUCCGUCAUACCGGUGUUAUGUUCCCGGAUUUUGUGUUCCUUACGUGGUUGGGUGAUUUAUGGGACCCCGUUGACAGUUCGCUUUGAAUAAAACUCCUCCAGCAAGGCCCAACCUUCGUUUUAACAUUUGCCACCUAAGCCUUUUUCCCUUGGGUUCUGCAGACUCAAGGGUCAUCUUUAUUUUACCCCCCCCAGGGCCAGUGCUCAUCGUGAGUGUUGGUCCAACCUGUCAACCGCCGGUGGCCACCAGGGGCAACUCUGGGCUGGCCUACCGGAAGUUUGGACAAUCCGGUGUGCCCUGAGAAUGAGAUAUGUGCAGCUCCUAUCGGGAUUUGUCGGCACAGCGGGAGGCUUUGCUGGUCUUGUUUUACCAUUGCCGAAAUGUCUUGUAAACAGGGAUUCUGAGUCUGAUCGGGUCUUCCUGGGAGAAGGUAUAUCCUUCGUUGAUCGCGAGAGCUUAUCAUGGGCUAAGUUGGGACACCCCUACAGGGUAUAAUCUUUCGAAAGCCGUGCCUGCGGUUAUAGGCAGAUGGGAAUUUGUUAAUGUCCGAUUGUAGUUAACUUGACACUUGACCUCUUUAAAAUACAGCAACCGCGUGUGCCGCCGUGAUGGUCUCUUUUCGGCGGAGUCCGGGAAGUGAACACGGUUUCGUGUUAUGUUUGACGUAAGUAGGAGUUCAGGAUCACUUCUUGAUCAUUGCUAGUUCACGACCGUUCCAUUUGCUCUCUUCUCGCUCUUAUUUGCGUAUGUUAGCCACCAUAUAUGCUUAGUCGCUGCUGCAACCUCACCACUUUACCACUUCCUACCCAUAAGCUUAAAUAGUCUUGAUCUCGCGGGUUUUGAGAUUGCUGAGUCCUCGUGACUCACCAGAUACUAUCACAACAGUUGCAGGUGCCGAUGAUACCAGUGCAGGUGAUGCAACCGAGCUCAGAUGGGAGCUCAAUGAAGACCUUGGUCGUUGCUAUGUUUCGUUUGAUGUUGAUCAAUAGUGGAUCCCAGUUGGGACGAUCGGGGAUCUAGCAGUUGGGUUAUCUUCUUUUCUUUUGGCUUCGUCCGUAGUCGGACAAUGUGUGUACUCUGAAUUAUGUAUGAUUUAUUUAUGUUCAUUGUGUGAAGUGGCGAUUGUAAGCCAACUCUUUAUCCCAGUCUUGUUCAUUACAUGGGAUUGUGUGAAGAUGACCCUUCUUGCGACAAAACCACAAUGCGGUUAUGCCUCUAAGUCAUGCUUCGACACGUGGGAGAUAUAGCCGCAUCAUGGGUGUUACAUGUAUCAACAUGAUCCCACCAAGUUCAUCUACCAACAUGAAAGCGUCAUAAUCCCCCAAAGUGUCUUAGAUAAUUCCUGAAGGUCACUAAUAUAAACUCAUCAACUCAUUUGUCCUCUAUUCUCAUAUCCUCAAAUUGGUCUUCCCUAUGGAAUAGUCAGUUCUGGUGCUAUAUUAGGACCGUAAUGUGCUAGUUCACUAUGUCCACUAGUUUACUAAUGAACCCUAUACUAAUCAAAGGUUGUUGGGGCUCAACUGGUUCUCCUACAAUUAUGUGGAUUAAGCACUUGGUUUAGAAUUCGAGCUGGGGUAUCUCGUGAAGUAUCGAAGUGUCUAGGGAUGUGUUUCUAUUCUGGAGGGUUAAACAUAACUCUAUGGGGUUACACCUCGUCGAGGAGGCGGUAGCAAAAGUCUUCAUUGCUAGUUUAUUGCCGAGGUACAAUCCUUGGUGUAUCUUGUCUUGCUGGUCUUCAGUUGAGGAGAGAGAUUAGAUGAAAAAAUAGCAUAGAGGAGGGGAAUGCCAAAAGGGGGUUCUAUAGUGCAAGUGCAAACAAACAGGUGCAAAAAGGGCCAAACAAAAGAAACAAGGUAAGGAAUUUGAUAUAGUCGCACACUUGUUGCCUAGGGAAAAAGUGCGACCUAUAUCAAAACACAAACAAAUAAAAACAAGCAACACACAAUUAUGGUACUAUUCGAACCAUCAUACGGCCUCGACUGUGCAUAGGGGGUACACGACUCAUCAUACCCUAGGGGAUCUCGGACUUAGUUGUCAUGCUUUGCUCCGUGUCUCAUGCAAUCUUCUAGAUUUUCCUCAGGUCUCGCUACAUCUCUUGUAGUUCUGUAAUGAAAUGAUCCGGGUUGAGCCUGAAAAGUCUUCAACAACUUCUUGCCUGUUGAAGUGAUGGGGUUUAUGAAUUAUUUAUGGAUUUUACAUGUUUUCCAAAAAAAGAAAAGAAAA